CAGAUGCAGCAGGACGGUGGCCUAAUUAAGCAACUAUUACUAUAUAAGGCGCAGAUGCAGCAGGACGGUGGCCCAAGCAACUAUUACUAUAAGACACAGAUGCAGCAGGACGAUCGCCCAAGCAACUAUUACUAUAAGACACAGAUGCAGCAAGACGGUGGCCCAAGCAACUAUUACUAUAAGGCACAAAUGCAGCAGGAUGGUGGCCCAAGCUAUAAGACACAGGUGCAGCAGGACGAUCGCCCAUUGCAAGCACUAUUACUAUAAGGCACAGAUGCAGCAGGACGGUGGCCCAAUUAAGCUAUAAGACACAGAUGCAGCAGAACGAUCGCCCAUGCAAGCAACUAUUACUAUAAGGCACAGAUGCAACAAGAUGAGCCAGCUGACAGUCUACUGCUAGCAGCGCUGCAGUCCCUGAUGGACAAGUGAGUAGACUUCUCUAGUUGCGUGAUAUGCUAUUAGGCCAGGCAAAGUAGAUUAGCCCUUUACUGGUAGUUGGGCAGAGUCCAACCAACGCUUCGCUCAUGGUUGGGUAUCAGUACAUGUAGCAGUUUUGUUCCCACUGCAAGAAAUUUGCAGCCCAAUCAGAUUGCUGCGUUCAAGUGGGAAACCUUACAGCUCAAUUUAGCUGACAAGGCGAGCUGGGACACUGUAUUUCUCUAGAGAAUGCAGAAACAGCUCCUGCUAGAUAUCUAGGCUACUAGAAAAGAAGCAUAGUCUAUCUUAGCAUCUAUGAAUGAAGCUUAAACAGUAUGUAUUAAUUAAUUAAAAGGACUUGUCUUUGUUUUAAGUUUUGUUGUGCUACCAAUAAGAUUAGAUCAUUAGUUUGGACAAAACCUGUGUUAUGUAUGCCUUCUUUGGUCUUCGAAAAGCUUCUCAGAAGCCUUGGGGUUGUCUUAUAGCUGGCUGUACCUCUCCUUGUGCUAGAUGUCUAACUAUUAUGAAAAAGUUUAUUUCUGCCUGUACUAAAUCUUAUAUUACAGGCUACAGUAUUCUUCUACUUUCUCUAAGAGUCUGAGGUCUUUCUUGAAUUCCAAAACAACUAUAGCUAGAUCCAGUCAGCUAGAAUAGCCAUCCAAAUAGUUAAUUGAUUUCUUUAUAUCGCACCCCUGAGCCAUGCGGUUGUCAGCCACUUAAAGAUUAAACAAUAUUCAUACUCUGUCUCAAGUACCGGUGGAACAAAACUGUUACGUGUACUGAUACCCAACCCAGAGCGCAGCGUUGGUUGGACUCCGCCCAACUACUUUACUGGUCGAAUUGUUGUAAGUUUUACAACAACAAUCUGGGAGGGAACGUGUUAUCAACUUGUGAAUGUUGCAUGAUAUUGGAUUCUGUGGCAGAUUGGAUAGUAUCAUGAAUCCGAUUAUCCUUUGAAGUUCUGCUGAGCUGUUCAAUUAGGACACUUAAAACAAAAAAAAGGUUUAAAACAAGCUAUACAGGAUGUAGGACUGAGUAGUAUCCAUUGGUAGACCCUCUGGACUAUCUUGGUAGCCAUAGAAUGUUUUCGAAGAGGAAGCAGCAAGCCAUUUGUGUUACACAGGCACUUCACAAGUGUAAAGGCCACACAUACUUCCAUCGAGGCAGCAGCAAGGCAUAUGCGGUUGUCAGCCACUUAAAGAUUAAACAAUAUUCAUACUCUGUCUCAAGUACCGGUGGAACAAAACUGCUACGUGUACUGAUACCCAACCCAGAGCGCAGCGUUGGUUGGACUACACAGGCACUUCACAAGUGUAAAGGCCACACAUACUUCCAUCGAGGCAGCAGCAAGGCAUAUGCGGUUGUCAGCCACUUAAAGAUUAAACAAUAUUCAUACUCUGUCUCAAGUACCGGUGGAACAAAACUGCUACGUGUACUGAUACCCAACCCAGAGCGCAGCGUUGGUUGGACUCCUCGAUGGUUAGUUUGUGCACAGCCAUUGACCCACGCCCAUCUCUACAAGCCAUAGCCACUUCAUUGGGGGCGGCGAUAACAUCAAGCUAAUUUGGUGGGUUGGGCUCAGAUUCAAACUAAAGUGAUGGAACUGUUCCAGGUUCCUGCGAUUGACCUGGAGGGUUAGUAGUUUCUCAUCACCGCCCGCUUUACUUUUAACUUUCCGCCUCAAAAAGUUCACUAUUAUUAUUUUUUAGGCCACAAUUAAUGAGCCACACCCAUUAUAUUCCAGGGCGUGGUAUAAAUUAAUGAGUUACACCCAGCCAAAAUUAAUUUCUGGUUUGUGUAAUGAAUAUCAUUAUAAUGUUGCAAUUGCGCAUGCGCAAGCGAGGUAACGAUAGUGUGUUUGUGCAUAGAUAGAAGAGGGAGGGAUUGGAAACGAACGACAAUUUCAAUGAUAUCCGUUGAAACACUCCUUGUCUUGUUACGUAAUCACGUUCUGGCGGGAUUGUAACAAAGAUUUUCUCUGACUCAGUUCUUGCAGACGUUGUUAGAGUCUAACUUAGACUUCUGGGUUAGGCCAGAUGUCCGUGGCUUAACUGUAUUCAUACCUGAAAUGCCGUGAAAAUUUUGAAUCGUCAUUCACAAAAGAAUGAAUUUAGGAUUACUGUGAGGUCAUUUGUGGAGAUGGUUAGAUAUCUGUUCACAAUACCUGGAGUCAUCAGCAACAGGUUGUGCCAGGACCCCGUUAAAUUGGCCAACAAAGACAGAGGGGUAAAUCCAACGAGAACCCGAAUGUUAGUGAAUUUGCUAAGAACACAGGCUCUUCGGGUGAUCAACAGCACAUGUGCAACAAUUAGAGGCAACUGCUGAAAGACAAUAGAAGACGACCAUUGCAGCUAGGUGAUGAGAAUAACCCCUUCCCAAAAGAAGGCAGCAUAAUGUAUAGAGAAAUCAAUUGUUCACAUGUUAAUUCAAUCACAUUCACAUGUUCAAUUCUUAACUGUGAUAAAUAAUUGUUCAAUUCUAUAAA